rnacentral:misc_RNA from 1 species
AACGCACAUUGCGCCCCCUGGCAUUCCGGGGGGCACGCCUGUCCGAGCGCCGUUUUACCACCUCGAGCCCAGCUCGGCGUUGGACCCCGCCCCGGUUCGCCUGGGGCGCCGUCCGAAAUGCAUAGGCGCCCGGCCCCGGGAACCCCAGCACAGCGGAAACACUCGCUGGGGAGCUCGCGGCCGCGGCGGCCAACGAACCACCACAUGUAACGAUUGGCCUCGGAUCAGGCGGGGAUACCCGCUGAACUUAA